CCAGGGAGAAAAGCUUUUUUCGUUAUUUCUCAUAAUGUCGUUUCAGGAGCGCCUGCGCACUAAUAUACGUAGGACGUGAUUCCCUAACCCUGGCCAUUACACAAUACAAUAAGCCAACGUUAAACUUAUAAGUACUUAACAUCAACGCUUCACAACACCUUGGCAUGCCGCAAAAACACAAAAACACCGAAAUGAAUAAAUAAAUAAAUAGAAAAUCCUA